rnacentral:misc_RNA from 1 species
GGCCACUACCAUCCAAAAUUUUGCUGCUGUGAUAAACCCCGUAACAGAGGCAGCACCAUUUACAUCCGAGAAUAUGCACCCUCUUUUACAAUCAUAUGAAAAUCACUCUCUAUUCUAUAUUAUAGAAAUGAUCUAUUUUUCCGUGAGAAAGAGAGCACUAUUUUUUAAUAGUACCGGUGUAUCUAAUAAUUAGCCUUUACAU